CCGCCAGACUCCUACGGGAGGCAGCAGUGGGGGAUAUUGCACAAUGGGGGGAACCCUGAUGCAGCGACGCCGCGUGGGUGAAGGAGCGUUUCGGCGCGUAAAGCCCUAUCGGCAGGGAAGAAGGAGGACGGUACCUGACUAAGAAGCCCCGGCUAACUACGUGCCAGCAGCCGCGGUAAUACGUAGGGGGCAAGCGUUAUCCGGAUUUACUGGGUGUAAAGGGGGCGCAGACGGCAGCGCAAGCCAGGAGUGAAAGGCCGGGGCCCAACCCCGGGACUGCUCUUGGAACUGCGCGGCUGGAGUGCAGGAGGGGCAGGCGGAAUUCCUGGUGUAGCGGUGAAAUGCGUAGAUAUCAGGAGGAACACCGGCGGCGAAGGCGGCCUGCUGGACCGUAACUGACGUUGAGGCUCGAAAGCGUGGGGAGCAAACAGGAUUAGAUACCCGGGUAAU
rnacentral:rRNA from 1 species